GGCUAACGCUGGCGGCGUGUCUUAGCCAUGCAAGUCGAGCGGACUUAUGGGGUAACUUAUAAGUCAGCGGCGGACGGCGGAGUAACACGUAGCUAACCUACCCUCUGGACGGGGAUAACCUACCGAAAGGUGGGCUAAUACCCGAUGUAGUCAUCCUGUAUAGGGGUGAUGAAGGUGGGCUUCUGUUUACAAGCUCAUGCUGGAGGAGGGGGCUGCGGCCUAUCAGGUAGUUGGUAGGGUAAUAGCCUACCAAGCCGAUGACGGGUAGCCGGCCUGAGAGGGUGACCGGCCCGAGGGGCACUGAGAUACGGGUCCCACUCCUACGGGAGGCAGCAGGCUAGAAAUUUGGGCAAUGGGGGAAACCCUGACCCAGUGACGCCGCGUGCAGGAAGGAGCCCUUCGGGGUGUAAACUGCUGUCGUGUAGGGAGAAGGGUACUAAGGUGAACAAUCUUAGUACUUGACGGUACUACAGGAGGAAGCCCAGGCUAACCUCGUG
rnacentral:rRNA from 1 species